rnacentral:tRNA from 1 species
GGCCGCGUGGCCCAAUGGCAAGGCGUCUGACUACGACCUCGCUUCUCUCCUGAGAGCGCGCGUAUAAAUCAGGAGAUCGUGGGUUCGAGCCCCAUCGUGGUCA